UUUCUACUCCCUCCGUUCAGAAUUACUUGUCGCAGAAAUGGAUGUAUCUAAAUACAUCCAUUUCUGCGACAAGUAAUUCCGAACGGAGGGAGUAGUAG
rfam:Triticum aestivum genome assembly, contig: Triticum_aestivum_CS42_TGACv1_scaffold_393382_5AS